UACGGAGGGUGCGAGCGUUGUCCGGAAUCAUUGGGCGUAAAGGCGCGUAGGUGGCCCGGUCAGUUCGUGGUGAAAGCGCGGGGCUCAACCCUGCGUCGGCCAUGAAUACUGCCGCGGCUGGAGCACUGUAGAGGCAGGCGGAAUUCCGGGUGUAGCGGUGGAAUGCGUAGAGAUCCGGAAGAACACCGGUGGCGAAGGCGGCCUGCUGGGCAGUUGCUGACACUGAGGCGCGACAGCGUGGGGAGCGAUCCGG
rnacentral:rRNA from 1 species